CGCACUAUUCCUGGCUCGCAAAUAUGGUUUGCUCUGCAUUAAACGGAAGGAAGAACCAAUGAUCAAGUCCUUUCUGCAAAAGAAUGGAAACCUACAUACAAAAAGAUACACUUAUGCAGAAGUAAAAAGAAUGACAAUGUCUUUUUCUGAAAAGCUAGGACAAGGUGGUUUUGGUGAUGUAUACAGAGGCAGCCUCUCGGACGGCGGUCAGGUAGCAGUCAAGAUGCUAAAGGACCCCAAGGGUGAUGGGGAGGAAUUCAUGAAUGAGGUGUCCAGCAUUAGCAGAACUUCACAUGUCAAUGUUGUUAUGCUCAUAGGAUUUUGCUUGGAAGGAUCCAAAAGGGCACUCAUCUAUGAGUACAUGCCUAAUGGUUCACUUGAAAGGUAUGCCUUCAAUAGCAACAUGAACAACCAAAAUUCUCUAGGUUGGGAGAAAUUAUUUGACAUAGCAAUUGGCAUCGCUAGAGGACUUGAAUAUCUCCACCGCGGAUGCAAUACUCGCAUAGUGCAUUUUGAUAUCAAACCCCACAACAUUUUAUUAGAUCAUGAUUUCUGUCCCAAGAUUUCUGAUUUUGGAUUAGCCAAACUAUGCCCAAAUAAAGAGAGUGCCAUUUCCAUUGCCGGUGCAAGAGGAACAAUAGGCUACAUUGCACCUGAGGUUUUCUCCAAGCAAUUCGGAACAGUCAGUAGCAAGUCAGAUGUCUAUAGUUAUGGAAUGAUGGUCCUUGAGAUGGUUGGGGCAAGGGACAAAAAUAUGAAUGCAGAUAGUGAAUCUAGCAGCCAAUAUUUCCCUCAGUGGAUUUAUGAACAUUUGGAUGACUACUGUAUCAGUGCUUCUGAGGUUAACAGUGAGACCACAGAGCUCGUGAGAAAGAUGAUAGUGGUAGGUUUGUGGUGUAUACAAGCUAUACCAACCGAUCGUCCAACAAUGACUAAAGUCGUUGAGAUGCUAGAAGGAAGCACAAGUAAUCUUGAGCUGCCACCAAAAGUGAUCCAGAUUUGAUGAUCAACAGUAUCUUACUAUUAAUAAUGCUAUCCCCCCUCUCCCCUCCCAAAAAUAAUUGGAGGAAAUGAUAUUCUUUAUUCGCAGUGUUGCCUGAGGGAAAAGGCCUUGUUUGCUUAAGCUUAUCAGCCGAAUCUGUCAGCCAUUCAGCGGUGUUUUUCUCUCACAACAAAUCCGCAUGCAGCCAAACAAACAAGACUCGCAGCCAGCAUAAUUUAAUGCAUUCAUCGAAGUGUGUUUUUGGAUUGUAAAAACUAACCAGCAAUGGGAAUCUUUUAACCGCAGUGUGCUCGUACAACCUUGUGUGAUGGUAUUAAUGUAGGUUGCUACUUGCUACAAGUACAGCUCUCUUCUGUGCCAAUAUGCACAACUCAUUGGACAAGUGCAUUAAGAUGCCUUCACAUCCUUCGAAAUACAAUGCAAACAGCAAACUACAUAUGACAAGUAAAAUCCCCGUUGACCACUCAGAUCAGAACUACGUCGCAUAGUUCAUAUAUAUAGAAUACUUGAAAUGAUAAUCGGACAUCAGGGAUCUAUAGGCGCAGGGGUUACCUGUUGCCGAAGUCGGAUUGGCCAAAAAGGAGCAAUGCAGUCCAGAGAUGCCAAAAGUCGGCGUCGGCCGAACUGGUGCUGCCGCCCCGCCUGGCCCAGAUAGAUUGCCUUCGCCUGAGUCCAGGCAGAUAUCGCCAGGCUCACCGGACUCCAGUGCCGCGCGGCUGCAGAUGCGAAGCGGGGACUGGGAGCGAGAGGGAUGCGGCGAGACGAGAGCAGACGAGAGCAGCAGCCAGUAGGUCGCCCGACGACAUUUCUAUCCUCGUUUUCUUCUUCACUACGGGCC
rnacentral:lncRNA from 1 species